CCUACGGGGGGCUGCAGUGGGGAAUAUUGGACAAUGGGGGGAACCCUGAUCCAGCCAUGCCGCGUGUGUGAAGAAGGCCCUCGGGUUGUAAAGCACUUUCAGUGAGGAAGAACGCCUGGUGGUUAAUACCCAUCAGGAAAGACAUCACUCACAGAAGAAGCACCGGCUAACUCCGUGCCAGCAGCCGCGGUAAAACGGAGGGUGCGAGCGUUAAUCGGAAUUACUGGGCGUAAAGCGCGCGUAGGUGGCUUGAUAAGCCGGUUGUGAAAGCCCCGGGCUCAACCUGGGAACGGCAUCCGGAACUGUCAAGCUAGAGUGCAGGAGAGGAAGGUAGAAUUCCCGGUGUAGCGGUGAAAUGCGUAGAGAUCGGGAGGAAUACCAGUGGCGAAGGCGGCCUUCUGGACUGACACUGACACUGAGGUGCGAAAGCGUGGGUAGCAAACAGGAUUAGAUACCCUAGUAGUC
rnacentral:rRNA from 1 species